rnacentral:rRNA from 1 species
CGCACAGUAAACGAUGAAUACCAGCUGUUGGCGAUAGACAGUCAGCGGCGUAAGCGAAAGCGUUAAGUAUUCCACCUGGGGAGUACGCCGGCAACGGUGAAACUCAAAGGAAUUGACGGGGACCCGCACAAGCAGCGGAGCAUGUGGUUUAAUUCGAAGCAACGCGAAGAACCUUACCUGGACUUGACAUCCCCUGAAUGACUCGUAAUGGAGGAAGCCCUACGGGGCAGGGAGACAGGUGG